rnacentral:rRNA from 1 species
CCUACGGGGGGCUGCAAUGGGGAAUAUUGCACUAUGGGCGCAAGCCUGAUGCAGCCAUGCCGCGUGUGUGAAGAAGGCCUUCGGGUUGUAAAGCACUUUCAGCGGGGAGGAAGGCGUUAAGGUUAAUAACCUUGGCGAUUGACGUUACCCGCAGAAGAAGCACCGGCUAACUCCGUGCCAGCAGCCGCGGUAAUACGGAGGGUGCAAGCGUUAAUCGGAAUUACUGGGCGUAAAGCGCACGCAGGCGGUCUGUCAAGUCGGAUGUGAAAUCCCCGGGCUCAACCUGGGAACUGCAUUCGAAGCUGGCAGGCUAGAGUCUUGUAGAGGGGGGUAGAAUUCCAGGUGUAGCGGUGAAAUGCGUAGAGAUCUGGAGGAAUACCGGUGGCGAAGGCGGCCCCCUGGACAAAGACUGACGCUCAGGUGCGAAAGCGUGGGGAGCAAACAGGAUUAGAUACCCUUGUAGUC